GACGAACGCUGGCGGCGUGCCUAAUACAUGCAAGUUGAGCGCUGAAGGUUGGUACUUGUACCAACUGGAUGAGCAGCGAACGGGUGAGUAACGCGUGGGGAAUCUGCCUUUGAGCGGGGGACAACAUUUGGAAACGAAUGCUAAUACCGCAUAAAAACUUUAAACACAAGUUUUAAGUUUGAAAGAUGCAAUUGCAUCACUCAAAGAUGAUCCCGCGUUGUAUUAGCUAGUUGGUGAGGUAAAGGCUCACCAAGGCGAUGAUACAUAGCCGACCUGAGAGGGUGAUCGGCCACAUUGGGACUGAGACACGGCCCAAACUCCUACGGGAGGCAGCAGUAGGGAAUCUUCGGCAAUGGACGAAAGUCUGACCGAGCAACGCCGCGUGAGUGAAGAAGGUUUUCGGAUCGUAAAACUCUGUUGGUAGAGAAGAACGUUGGUGAGAGUGGAAAGCUCAUCAAGUGACGGUAACUACCCAGAAAGGGACGGCUAACUACGUG
rnacentral:rRNA from 1 species